rnacentral:tRNA from 1 species
GCGCAUGUGGUGAAAUUGGUAUACACGCUAGAUUUAGGUUCUAGUGCCGCGAGGCGUGGAGGUUCAAGUCCUCUCAUGCGCA